UGUUUCUCCCACCUAAACCUAAUUUGAUAAUAUUGACCGUUCCCGGCACAAGUAACAAAGAGUUUAAUAAUUGAUACUCGAGAUUCCAAAUUUAAAUUCAAAUUGAUUCACACUUCUAGUUAAAUUAUUUCUAACAGAAAUAAACGAAUCAGCUAGCAUAUUAUCUUUCUCUCUCAGAAAUAAAAAGACUAGUUUUAUUUUAUUAUAUAAUGGUUAAGAAAAUCGUUUAAAUAUUUAGAAAGACUUAAAAUAUUUUAAAAGUGAUUCUAAUUUUUUUUAUACUAUAAAAUUACAAGAGCAACCAGAGAUGGAAAAGCAUUUAUAGGCCUAAUUUGAUACGUAAUUCAAAGCACCACUUAUGUGCACUUUAUUAUAGGAUGCAAAUAUGAUAUCUCAUGAUCCAACAGUCUAAAAAUUUUUUUAAAAAAAUUUACUAUUAAAAAGAUUAACAUGAUAAGUAAACAUAUUUUAUUAAUCUUUUAAAGAUAAGCGUGUAAGAUUUAUAUCUGGAGGUACAUAAAGUAUUGCUUAGGAGCAGGACUGUUGUGCUCUUAGGAGCACGGCGGCCUCCAUACUACUGAGUCGUUUUCGAUGAUAAAUUUUCAAAUAGAUGAUUAGUUUCGCUAGACUUGAUCUAGCGUAGUUGAAGUUUCUAGAAAAUAUUUUUUGCGAUUUUUCGAUAUCAUUUACCUAGCAAUCGAAAAUAUUUAACAUCAACGGCUGAAAAUAAAAAUCCUAUAAAAGAUGGUGAUAUAGCAUUAAAAUUUUCAAUCAGAGAUAUUGAUCUUGUUGUAAAUAGUAUAAAAAAAUUUCUAUCAAAAUUUUAUUUGAUUUGAAUACUUCUAUACAGUUAAACUUGCAAACGAUAAACAUCAACCAUUAAAAUUUUUUGAUCGCUAGGUAAAUAAUAUUAUAAAAUUGUAAAAAUUAUUUUAUAGAAAUUUUAAAUACGCUAGAUCAAGUCUAACGAAGUCAAUCAUCGAUUCGAAAAUUUCAUCAUCAAAAAUGAUUCCGGAAUACGGAGGCUUUCGUGCUCCUAAGAGCACAGCAGUCCGGCUCCAUUGCUUAGUAUUUAAUCACAUGGC
rnacentral:lncRNA from 1 species